AUUGAACGCUGGCGGCAGGCCUAACACAUGCAAGUCGAGCGGAUGACGGGAGCUUGCUCCUUGAUUCAGCGGCGGACGGGUGAGUAAUGCCUAGGAAUCUGCCUGGUAGUGGGGGACAACGUUUCGAAAGGAACGCUAAUACCGCAUACGUCCUACGGGAGAAAGCAGGGGACCUUCGGGCCUUGCGCUCUCAGAUGAGCCUAGGUCGGAUUAGCUAGUAGGUGAGGUAAUGGCUCACCUAGGCGACGAUCCGUAACUGGUCUGAGAGGAUGAUCAGUCACACUGGAACUGAGACACGGUCCAGACUCCUACGGGAGGCAGCAGUGGGGAAUAUUGGACAAUGGGCGAAAGCCUGAUCCAGCCAUGCCGCGUGUGUGAAGAAGGUCUUCGGAUUGUAAAGCACUUUAAGUUGGGAGGAAGGGCAGUAAGCUAAUACCUUGCUGUUUUGACGUUACCGACAGAAUAAGCACCGGCUAACUCUGUGCCAGCCGCCGCAGUAAGAC
rnacentral:rRNA from 1 species